AUCCUUUGACUCACCCGGUGGCAUGUCACAGCACAGGACUUGUCCUUAGAACAUGUCUAGGCAACUGGACUGAUAUCUGUUUUGUUUCCUUUUCCUUCUACCCUGAAUGCCAAACUGGAGCAAAACAUGCUGAACAGAUUACUCCAAUAACAACAAGAUGGGUCAGGAACCAUGAACUAUGAACUGUUGCCAACUAAUCUAUCAUCCUGGUAUGAAAUGCUAUCAUUGGGUCUCCAACAUGGCAGGGUUAAGAAGAAAUUUCCUCCCAUCUCCCAUGGAGACGACAACCCAGAGCCUGACCAGGUAAGGCUUUAGGACCUGGCAGGGGUCCAUUAAGGAGCUCAGAGAAAGUGACAACAUCGUUAUCUGACUUUAAAGCUACAAAAGUUGAGCGGAUUAAAGGCCUGUCGUCCCACCCAUCCUCACUGUGUGAUGAUGAUAAUGGAGAGAAGGUGUUAUUGGUAGUUAAGCAGGGUGUUCUACAGAGUCCUUGUAGAAAACACAGGUAAACUCAAGCCGUGUCAGUAUACUUUUC
rnacentral:lncRNA from 1 species